rnacentral:rRNA from 1 species
GACGAACGCUGGCGGCGUGCUUAACACAUGCAAGUCGAACGGUGAAGCGCCUUCCUUUUUGGUGGGUGUGGAUGAGUGGCGAACGGGUGAGUAACACGUGAGUAACCUGCCCCCUUCUUCUGGAUAACCGCAUGAAAGUGUGGCUAAUACGGGAUAUUCUGGGUCUGUCGCAUGAUGGGUCUGGGACAGAUAUUGUUUCGGUGGGGGAUGGGCUCGCGGCCUAUCAGCUUGUUGGUGGGGUGAUGGCCUACCAAGGCGGUGGCGGGUAGCCGGCCUGAGAGGGUGGACGGUCACACUGGGACUGAGACACGGCCCAGACUCCGACGGGAGGCAGCAGUGGGGAAUAGUGCACAGUGGGGGCAAGCCUGAUGCAGCGACGCCGCGUGAGGGAUGGAGGCCUUCGGGUUGUGAACCUCUUUCGCCAGUGAAGCAGGCCUGCCUCGUUUGUGGGUGGGUUGACGGUAGCUGGAUAAGAAGCGCCGGCUAACUACGUG